rnacentral:misc_RNA from 1 species
GGUGGUUGGUUGGGGUGUUGGUUGUUGUUUGAGAACUGUAUAGUGGAUGCGAGCAUCUGAAACUUUUUUGUUGUGUUCUUUCGAUCGUUGUUGGCUUACAGAACCCGAUUGAUGUUGGCCGGGAUCCUUUCGGGGGUUUCGGUUUUCAGUGUUGGUUGGGUUUGGUGUGGUCAAGUUGUGAAGAGCGCACGGUGGAUGCCUUGGCACCAGGAGCCGAUGAAGGACGUGGGAGACUGCGAAAUGCCUCGGGGGAGUGUCACCCGAGCUGUGAUCCGAGGAUGUNCGAAUGGGGGAAACCCGG